rnacentral:rRNA from 1 species
GAUGAACGCUGGCGGCGUGCCUAAUACAUGCAAGUCGAGCGAACGGACGAGAAGCUUGCUUCUCUGAUGUUAGCGGCGGACGGGUGAGUAACACGUGGAUAACCUACCUAUAAGACUGGGAUAACUUCGGGAAACCGGAACUAAUACCGGAUGAUAUUUUGAACCGCAUGGUUCAAAAGUGAAAGACGGUCUUGCUGUCACUUAUAGAUGGAUCCGCGCUGCAUUAGCUAGUUGGUAAGGUAACGGCUUACCAAGGCAACGAUGCAUAGCCGACCUGAGAGGGUGAUCGGCCACACUGGAACUGAGACACGGUCCAGACUCCUACGGGAGGCAGCAGUAGGGAAUCUUCCGCAAUGGGCGAAAGCCUGACGGAGCAACGCCGCGUGAGUGAUGAGGGUCUUCGGAUCGUAAAACUCUGUUAUUAGGGAAGAACAUAUGUGUAAGUAACUGUGCACAUCUUGACGGUACCUAAUCAGAAAGCCACGGCUAACUACGUG